GGAUGUGAGGGCAAUCCGGCUGGCUAUGAUAAAUGCUACCCUACUGAUAUCUGGGAAUGCUGGCUGGUCAGGCUGACAAGACAGGUGCCUACUUCACAAUUCCAUGUACAUCCCUUCUGAGCUAAGCAUUUGGUUGAAUAGGAUGACCUUCUUCUGUAAGUAGGACUGUUUCUUAGCCAAGGGUAUAUGAGUAGUUGUACUCUUUUGCUACUGCCAAAUUCCUAAAACCCACUCUGAAAUUUACUUGCCAUGGUGAUGGUACUGGGAAGUGGCAAUUAUGAGACAGAACCUCCAUGGAUGCUAUUACUGGGAAAGUGGGUUCAUUAGGAAAAACGGUGGGCUCAGUGCAUACACACACUU
rnacentral:snRNA from 1 species